ensembl:lncRNA
UUGAGCUUGUAAAACUAUUUUUCAUUGUCAAAAAUUGAUAUCUUUUGUUUGUGCAUUCUUUUAUUCAUUCAGAGUCUUCUGCCACUGUUUGGAGUCCUGGUUUUCUUUCAAUUAAAAUGAAAAUCUCACCAUCGUAUCUUAUCUUUGCUAUACUUUCUAUAAGCUCUGGUUGUUUGUGUGAUUAAAACAUUAACCCGUCAAACAAAAGAGGACAGUGAUAUGUUUUACUAGUGCAAACAAUUUUAUUGCAGUUAAGUUUCUAUACAUACCAAAAUACUAAACCUUGCCAGGAUAGAAAUGAUCAAAUAAAAUAUUCACAGAUUUUACUCAGACAGCAAGAGUGAUGGAUCAGACACUCUUCUGGUAUACAUAAAAAUAGAUACAGGAUGAUAACGUCAAUUAUCAAGUAAAUUUUACGUGUCUAGUGUGAGUUAAUGCCUUUUUAAACAUAACUUGGGUCAGUUUUACUGUCUAAUCCAAUUGCACUUUCUUACAGGAAUGUUUAUUAUCAGAAGAUAAAGUAUUUUCAUGUAAAAUAUAAGAAUUGAUCACAUAAUUAGAAGGAAACGGUCAGUUAAAAUAUCCUGAUUUACUCAUGGCUCUUGUAAGGAAGGAGAAAAAAAAAAAAAAAAAAAGUCUGAAAAGCAAGCCAUUAUAAAAGUGCUUGUUACAGACUAUAGGUCAUUUGAUUCAUUUGAUUCCUUAUUCUCUAUGUGGUCAAAUAUCAUAAAGAAUAUGACUCCUGAAACACAAAUCAAGGAAGUUCCCAGUAGGUAACUAACUGCUACUGAGUUCUUCUACAGCACACAAUUGUGUGCCCUGAAUAUCUCUAAAUUGCCUCAAAAGUUCUCUGACGACUCUAAUGAAGGGUCUGACAUUUUGGAGGAUAGAGAAUCAAAGGUAACCUAGUGACAUCCCGAAACCUAGCUUUGUUUUUCAUUUCAAUGGAACAAAAUCUGUCUUCUCAGAUAAAGGGAUAAGGAUUUAUUCCAACUGAAGGAAUGAGGAUGCUUUAUUUGAUUUCAUAGGGCUGCUAAAUAGAAAAAUGUUACAAUUCCAAAUUACAAACUGACACAAUAACAAAUAAAGCUAAAACCAGUUAACAGAAGCUCCUAAUUGCUUAAAUAUACCUGCAGAUUAUAAAGGCAUAUUACUGUUGGUCUGGCUCCUGAACCAGUAAUAUUUCAACACUUUCACUUCUGUUAGCACAGUUAUUAGUUUAAAAUGCACAACAAUCUAUUUUUAUUUGUGUUUCUCAAAGCUUUCUCCUUAUCUCGCACUAUAAAAACUGAGCUGCAAGAGACAUAGUGUAUGUGUUUGAGACUGCUACAAUCAUUUAGUUUGACCUUCUCUGGCACAGUUUGUCUUGAAAAGCAAGUAUCUGAUUGUGUUAACUGCAUCUUGUUUACUGAACAAGUGAAUAGAUUAUAUUUGUUUCUCAAGAAGUUUCUCUCAAUUGCAGAAAGUGAAGAGAGAUCUUCAGAUGGAAGUUGCUGUGAAGUACAGAUCAUAUAUUUAUGAAGAUAUAUAUUCUUCUAUAUGAAUAUAAGACUGGGAUAGGUAGAGUUGGUAGAGUGUUUUUCUGACCCUAACCGUGCACAAAGGAACUUCAAGUGCCAGCUAAACGAAGGCUAGGACAUGAGAGUCAAACAGCGUAUUAGGAAGUUGCUAGUUUCCUAAUGAAUCUUGUGCUUCUACAGCAGUCCAAGGAAGAUUUAUUCUGACUCAUAGACUCUUACCGUAGUCUCUUUCCAUUGCAGUGAAAGCAUAAACCAGCAGAUUACCUAAUCAAGAAUAUGACUUCCUAAGAAAGUGGAAAGCAUCAGUGAAUCAUGAAGUCAUUCUACCAUUUGUGCCUGGAAACUCAGUACCUGAAAUCUUUGCUUCACUAAACAGUCACAAAGGCCACUUAACUUCCUAUUGCUUUAUAUUCUGAACACUUGCUCUGAGGAAAGCAUGUAGUAAGUAGGCAUUUGAGUCACAACUCUCAUCCAAAUUCCCCGCCCAUCUUCAACACAGGAGUACAUUUUUGCACUCUUGCUGAAAAAGAAGGGACCUCUGAUGACUAUCCA